CGGGGGCCGCCUAUACAUGCAAGUCGAGCGGACGGAUGGGAGCUUGCUCCCUGAAGUCAGCGGCGGACGGGUGAGUAACACGUGGGCAACCUGCCUGUAAGACUGGGAUAACUCCGGGAAACCGGGGCUAAUACCGGAUAACUCUUUUCCUCACAUGAGGAAAAGCUGAAAGAUGGUUUCGGCUAUCACUUACAGAUGGGCCCGCGGCGCAUUAGCUAGUUGGUGAGGUAACGGCUCACCAAGGCCACGAUGCGUAGCCGACCUGAGAGGGUGAUCGGCCACACUGGGACUGAGACACGGCCCAGACUCCUACGGGAGGCAGCAGUAGGGAAUCUUCCGCAAUGGACGAAAGUCUGACGGAGCAACGCCGCGUGAGUGAUGAAGGUUUUCGGAUCGUAAAACUCUGUUGUCAGGGAAGAACAAGUACCGGAGUAACUGCCGGUACCUUGACGGUACCUGACCAGAAAGCCACGGCUAACUACGUGCCAGCAGCCGCGGUAAUACGUAGGUGGCAAGCGUUGUCCGGAAUUAUUGGGCGUAAAGCGCGCGCAGGCGGUUCCUUAAGUCUGAUGUGAAAGCCCCCGGCUCAACCGGGGAGGGUCAUUGGAAACUGGGGAACUUGAGUGCAGAAGAGAAGAGUGGAAUUCCACGUGUAGCGGUGAAAUGCGUAGAGAUGUGGAGGAACACCAGUGGCGAAAGCGACUCUUUGGUCUGUAACUGACGCUGAGGCGCGAAAGCGUGGGGGAGCAAACAGGAUUAGAUACCCUGGGUAGUCCACGCCGUAAACGAUGAGUGCUAAGUGUAGAGGGGUUUCCGCCCUUUAGUGCUGCAGCAAAACGCAUUAAGCACUCGCCUGGGGAGUACGACCGCAAGGCUGAAACUCAAGGAAUUGACCGGGGGCCGCACAGGCGGUGGAAGCAAUGGUGGUUGAUCCGAGCAACGCGAGAUCCUUACAAGUCUGACAUCUCUGACACCUAGAGAAUAGGGCGAUUCCUUACGAGG
rnacentral:rRNA from 1 species